rnacentral:rRNA from 1 species
UACGUAGGGGGCAAGCGUUGUCCGGAUUUAUUGGGCGUAAAGAGCGUGUAGGCGGCCAUACAGGUCCGUUGUGAAAACUGGAGGCUUAACCUCCAGACGUCGAUGGAAACCGUAUGGCUAGAGUCCGGAAGAGGAGAGUGGAAUUCCUGGUGUAGCGGUGAAAUGCGCAGAUAUCAGGAGGAACACCGGUGGCGAAGGCGGCUUGCUGGGCCGUACCUGACGCUGAGGAGCGAAAGCGUGGGGAGCGAACAGG